GUUCGCCCCCUGCUUUGGUCACGUGGCCACUUGAAGACCCUCAUUCAUGGUGAUGUGGAUGCAGUCAUGCGGAAAACAUGGGAGGUCCGAGUCACAGCUCCUCCCAGAGUCGUAAACUCCCCGCAGUGAAGGAAGAUGAACCAUUACUGUGCUUACAUGGCUUCAGGUACAGUUGUGCUUUUCCCCCUUGAUCAAUUCCAACAUCGGUCUCAUCCAAACUCUUUCAUUUCACAGGGUAUUGUUCUGAGACUGUUCACAUUCAUUCAUAAUGGUUCACCAAUACAAUGGGUGCACAGUGAAAACAGAAAUGAAAGAAAUGUUCCUAUCCAUGUCACAUACAGUCAUCUCCUGAUCCAAGGUUCUGGAACCCUGAAGACUGGAGGGGUGUACCUGGUACAGUUACAGUGAGAAGCUCAAUCAUGUGAGCAGCUGUCAUACUUGGAGAAAAGCCAGUGAAAGUGUUGUUUUUUUAGGGGUGAAAAGGCUGCAGAAUGCCCCCCUCCUCCUCAGAUGACUACUGCCUCUGUCAGAUGGAGGGGAUGGAUCUCAAAUCCCUCCUUGCUGAUGGUUCCUGCCCAGGGGACUGCAGCCUUCAGACCUGGGCAGGAGUAACACCAGGUUGUGUUCCACUCUCUGCUGCUCUCUUCUCAUUUGUCCCACUCCAGGGGAGCUUCCCUGGAGUCUGCUGUAUGGGAGGGAGAAGUGGGAAGUUGUCUGUCCGUCUAUCCAUCUGUCCAGCUUGUCAACGAGAACACACUGCCAACGAGACUUAUCAUCUGAAGAGGUUUGGGAGUUUUUAUCCUGGGGUGAAGUCCCAAAGAUGUAUAGCAAGGGGUUGCUGUGAUGCUGAGGAGGAUCAUGCUGCCUUGUCUCCUAGGAGGGUCAGGAAGGUCUGCUACCUAUGGAGAAGGAACCAAGGCUGCACCCCCUCCCCCCACCUCCCUGCAGUCAUCAUAAAAGACAAGCACAUGCCCCAGGGGCCAGGACACCGGCUCCCAGGAUGUCAGUGAUGCACAACCAGACUCAGCCCUGUGCCACUUUGACCCCAGUCUUAAUCUGAAUAUUUAUUCCAAUAUUAUGCAUAGCAGCUGUAUUAGUGGGGCUAAAUAUGGGGAGGUGAACCAUGAUAGAGCUUUAUUGAAGUGAGAGAGAGAGAGCAAAAGGCGGUGUGAUGUUGAGAAGGACAGGCCUUUAAAAUUAGAACCACACACAAGCCUUGGAAGGCAAAUUCAUGAAACAUACUGGCAGUGAAGGAUGCGUGGACCUCAUUUUUCAGCCUAAGGUGAUGACCACAAACAUUUAAGGCAGACUGGAAUACAGCAACUGAUUUACUCCCACCACAGUCAUGUAUAAUCAUUGAUAUUGAAAGGUAUGUUGAUUUACCAAUGGUAACCUUCUAAAGGCACUUACUUGACAAAAUACUGAAAUUUUCAAGGUAUCUGAAUUGAGAUGCAGUAAGUUGACAUGUCAUAUUCCCCUCAGGCUGACUGUAAUCUGGUGUGAAGGGAAAAUGAGAGGAGGGUGGGAUUUGAGAUGCAGGGAGAAUGGAUGCUUGCUGAGUGGGGUUUGAGAUGCCAUGGGUGAGAGCUCCAUAUUCUAACCCCAAAUGUGCACAGGUCACUCGUUCCGAGGGUCUACAGGAAUGGUCGGGCCGGCUUCACUGCUUGUGAAUGAUUUAGAGAGGUGUUUGAAAUUGUAGAAUGUGGUUAUGGAACGAUAGAACCAGUUUCAUUCACAGUGCAUGUGACACAGCGACACAGGUAACUGUUUACCUUUUAGACCAUCUCUGUUAUAGGUGUGUGGGGGCUUGUUUAGGAUAUGCAUGGAAAUAACAUGAUUCUUCAGAUGACUCGUCUGUUUCUAUACCUGGACCAGCUAACCCCUUAUUGUGUGACUUGUUAUGUACGCAGAUGCCUAACUAUCUAACCUAUUAACUUUCUGCUUGUUCUGUUAACCUACAAUACUAACACUGCACACUAACUAAACUACUGCUGUGAUGUUCUUUUACUGCUAAUACCUGCUAGCAACCUUUCUUCCUCUGGCUGUUCUCUAUUUCCAAACCCUUAACAAGACUGCUAACAGUGCUGUUUUACUCUGUACUAAUAUGUGAAAUGCUGGAUGGCCUCAGUGUGCUGACUGCCUGUUUGACUGUGUAUGGUAAGGGAGCUUUGCUCUGUGUUUUUUGUCUUGUGGUACGUGCAUGCAAGAGCUCCUUCUGUAGCCUUGACGACUUCACAUGGGCAUUUUUUCAACUAACAAACACUGGAAACUGUACUAACUUAUACUAACAGAUUAACCAGUUUAAACUAAAGUUGACAAGAUAAUCAGCCAAGCUGUCAGACUCUGUGAGCAAUUCCUUGUCUUCUCUUUACUUCAUCACUGCUCUUACCUGUAUGUGUGUUUGUGUGUAGAUAUAAUGCGAGGUGUGUAAAUUUGUCUGUGUGGAUGAGGUUUCUGUUACAGAAUCUUUGAUCUGUUGGUGCGUGCUUGAAUGUCUUGAGUUACACUACCUGUUAUUUUGCCUGUCGUUUUCUUGUCUACCCGUGCAACCCACUCAUUGUGCGCGCAGCAACGCUUCACAAAAACGUAAAUCAUUCUCUUCUGGCACCCUCGAAUGACAGAUUAACGAAAGCUAACACUGGUACUAACUGUGGUAACAAUUGGUUGACUAACCCUGAUGAGGGUUUGCAUUGUGUGCUGUGUUGCAGCUGUGUGUCAGCAGCGAGAUGGUUCUGAAUGGGUCUGAACAAACCUGGUAACUGUUCUCCCAAAAGACCCUGUGCUGGAGCUGGGUUUAAGAUAGAUGAUUGGCGGUAGCACCUUAAUUCUGCCGAUGGCAUCAGGUUAAGUAUAGGCAGAUACAUUUAUCCACAGCAGCACAAAAAAUUACCUUUGUUACAGGACUGUGGGUGCUAUUAAAGUACAUUUUGUGUUUAGUACCUUCUAAAUGAAAACAUCAGUUUCCCUCUAGCCUUUUGGUGAAAAGUUCACAUCCCUAGCUGCUACGUUGCCUGAUAUUGAGUUUUAGUCAGGGUACACAUCACACUGCAGUGUCUCCAUGAUUAAAACACUGACUUGUUGUGUGCCCGUACAACUGCAGUGAAGUUUUAUGUGUUAGUUUGAGAUAGUUUGCAACAACCAUCCAGACUGAUUAAUACAUUUCUUUGGAGAGGGUCAGUCUAUGCACUGGACACUGCAGGUGGAGCGCAAAUAUUCCAGUAUGUUGCGGUGCUAUUGGGUCCUGAACUAUGUCACUAGGAGGGUGUCUGGCUUUUGUAGGCAAUGCUACUUUUCAUACGCUGGUGUCUCACAUUACUGUCUCGAACCCUCUUGAGAAAAGAAAGAAACAAACAGGAUGUCUGUCGUCUGUGCCUUUUAAGCUGAAUAUUCAUAAUGCACCUUUAAUUAACCGUGUCAAAUUUGCAUUAAGUAUGUCGAAUUUGCAUGAAUUAACGGCCAGAUUUACAUAUGCAAUGUUGGUGGUGGCAGCUGCAGCCUCCUUGCUAUGCAAAUGUAACCUUCUAGUGGAGAAGUGUUUCUUGUCCACCUGGCUAACUUUGCGUCGUCUUUUACCUGGUUUGCAGCCUGUGAAGGUUAUGUCCCAUCUUCCCUUUCUAUGUUCCAUCAACGUGCUAAUAACAUGUUAGUUAGAUUGUAUUAACUGCUAUGCUCUAAUACUAACCAGUGGUGUUAAUAAAACUAACAUUUUGGGUGUACCUAACUGUCA
ensembl:lncRNA